rnacentral:lncRNA from 1 species
AAAAGGAGAUGAGAGCAACUUUUACAGACCCCCAUUGGAUAUCUUCUUCACAAAAGAAAAGACCCCCAGCAUUGAUCUUCUUCAGCAUUUGUGAACAGGGAGACCUAAGUGACAGGACAAAAAUGAGUAGCUAAAUAGAUGCGACCUCCCUCCCCGUCGUCGUUCUUCUGUUGCGAGUUUGCGGAAUGCCGGACUUUUCUCUUCUCACUAAGCCAGCGACGAGCUCGCUGGAAAAAACACACCCCACACCCUAAACCAACAUCGACUUUGAUUUUUGAAUUGUAGAGUUGUCGCUUGUUCUGAUUUUAAUGGAAAUUUGUUCAAUUCUGCCCAUAUGGUGUUUGUUUGAGUGGUCGAGCUGCCAUCGAGAUCCCGUUCGAGCGAUCAGCUUUUGAGGUGGUUGCUCGAGGUUAUCAUUCGAAUUUAUUUUCGGUCGUCGUUCCUUGCCAGAGCAAUUUUGGCAUCCAAACAGAAAAUUGUAAAAUUAGAGGCUUUCAUUAAUAGUCAACACUCCGUUUAAGGUCUGUUUCUAUCUUUAGUUAUUUAUCUCCUGAUUUUGUCACAAGUGUUUGAAUGGUAGAUCUGUAUAUUCUCCAUGACUAGUUGUGAUAUUUUUGAUUCUAUAUUGAAAUUUGAUUAAUUGACAUAUUUGGACAUUAGAGUGGUAUUGGGUCUUAAUCGAAUAACGGGUCUGAAUCUAACACCGAGGCUCAUUCUAUUUUCACUUUAUACAGUUGUUUAAAUGAUUGGAGCACAGCCGUCUGUUAAUUUUGUUGAUUCGUUAUAUUUGUUGUGUUUCAGGCUGUGUGUUCUUGUUUGGUUAUUUUCUUCAAUGAGUUAAUAUAAGU